GGUAGAGGGUUAGGGGGUGGGAGUGCGUCGAUAAUAGUAUGGGAGCGCUCCUCUGUGUCUGGAGUUUCUUGUUCGUGGCUAGCAGUGGUAGUUUAUUUUGCAUACCGUACUAGUUUAUAUGCACUUAUCUUUUGUAUUUGUUAUACUGUUAGUUUGUCUUGGGUACCAUACUAGUUUAUAUGCACUUAUCUUUUAUUUUU
rnacentral:lncRNA from 1 species